rnacentral:misc_RNA from 1 species
GGAAGCAAAAGUCGUAACAAGGUUUCCGUAGGUGAACCUGCGGAAGGAUCAUUAAUGAGUUGUCAUGGGGUUCGAUGCUGGCAGCCAGUUUUUGGAUGCAUGUGCUUGCCCUAACAAUCAUCUUCUUCCAAACACCUGUGCACAUUUUUGAGGGAGUCUUGAGUUGGUUGCCGCUCUUGGGUGAUUUUCUCACAUUCCCUUAAAUCAUUAUACGCUAUUAACAAUGUUGAACGUGCUCUGUGCCGCAAGGCCAUUAAUAUAAUACAACUUUUAACAACGGAUCUCUUGGCUCUC